UCCCAUUCAGAUCACCGUUUUCUGGGCAC
rnacentral:piRNA from 1 species